rfam:Theobroma cacao cultivar Matina 1-6 chromosome 10, whole genome shotgun sequence.
AAACCAUGAUGAGGACAACACCGAAGUAAUUCUUUAUAUCUUUCCCAAGCCUCAUACAACGAUUUAGAAUCUUGUUGCAUGAAUGAUCAAAUAUCAUUCUUCAUUUU